AGAAGCAUGUCCCUGGUUGUAUAAGUUACAUGAAGUAUGAAAUUCUUUUAAGCAUGAUCUGCUUCCAAUUGCGAAAUCAGAAAUAUAUGUACAUCUUCUUGGUUAUCCGAUUAUAUCUUUUGGUAUAUUCGUUGGUAUGGUUGGCGACCUUCAGGAAAGGGACUCCCAAAGGGCAUAAAACACUAUGAAUGCUUGCUGUCCAGUUGCUCUCUCUCUCAUUUCCAUUCUUUUUGAAAGUUGACAAGUUUCUCGCUUUGUUCUUUCAUCUCGGCUAUGUAAUUACAAGGAUUGAACUAUAUAUUGGAUUCACCAGCUUAAUACAUGCUAAGUGUGUUUACACAAUGCAGUUCGAUACCAACACAGUAAUUCAAU
rnacentral:misc_RNA from 1 species